UACGUAGGGUGCAAGCGUUGUCCGGAAUUAUUGGGCGUAAAGAGCUCGUAGGUGGUUUGUCGCGUUGUCCGUGAAAACUCACAGCUCAACUGUGGGCGUGCGGGCGAUACGGGCAGACUGGAGUACUGCAGGGGAGACUGGAAUUCCUGGUGUAGCGGUGGAAUGCGCAGAUAUCAGGUGGAACACCGAUGGCGAAGGCAGUGAUCUGGGCCAGUACUGACGCUGAGGAGCGAAAGCGUGGGGAGCAAACAGG
rnacentral:rRNA from 1 species